AUAUCUCUCUGUACGGGAAGGAUGAGAAGCUUCGACUAAGGUUCGAUUCGAGCGCAGCGAGAACGCGUUGCCGCAGGCAACGACCCGAAGGGCGAAGCGCGCAGCGCUGAGUCAUCCUUCCCCCACCACCA
rnacentral:sRNA from 5 species